rnacentral:misc_RNA from 1 species
UCGAUGCAUCGUUUGCAUCCUAGCUAGUAUCGUUUGAUCCUUCGUUUGAGCGUCACUUAUAUUGGGAUACUUUUGUGGAAUAUUUGAGGUUCAAGGCCUAAAAAGUUAUAAAAAUCCCAAGAAUCAAUCAUCUCGCAUUAUGUCCGCAAAACGUAAAUCUGGUGGAAACGGAGCAGGACCGAACAAGCGUCAUUCCAAGAAGCAAAAUGAUUUUGAAGAAGUUCUAAGUGAUGCUUCGAGUGAUGAAGGCCAAUCUACCUCUAACCAAGUUGAAGUUUUAAUACCUAAUGAUAAUCUAGAACCGCCCAGCAAGCUCCCAGAAGAAUUACUGACAUCUUUUGAUAAAACGCCGGGACAAAUGCUCAUUGCUGGAAUGGUCACAUGGGAUUUGACCGGGAAACGAGAUCGGAAAAAUGUAGUGAAAGUUCGACCAAAUCUAUUUAAUUUUCACCGAUUUACUGAUGAAAAGUACCGAUAUUGCGCAAGUGGCCCUAGCUCUGCGCAUACGCUUCUUAUUAAUAUGGGUCGUAAGGCAAUUGCUUUUGGGCGCAAUCCAUCAGGUCAGUUGGGCUUGCCUGAUGUGAAGAUAUGUGAACGGCCUACUAUGAUACCAGGGUUGGAAAAAUUUAAUAUCGUGGAGGUGGCAUGUGGUCGUCAUCAUUCCCUUUUUUUGACUGAUACAGGUACUGUUUACGCUUGUGGAGAAAAUAAGUCUGGUCAAUGUGGUAUUGGUAACACUCAGCCAGUAGUAAACAUACCAACACCGAUAAACUACCGUGGUCCGCCAAUUAUUCGUAUUGGAUGCGGCGCGGAAUUUUCAGCGAUUCUUGAUAUCAAAGGUAAUCUGCACACAUUUGGAUUACCUGAAUAUGGUCAGCUGGGUCAUAAUACAGAUGCAAAGUACUUUGUCAACGCCAACAAAUUAUCCUUCCACUUUGAAACUUCGCCUAAAAAAGUUCUUCUUUACAUAGAAAAAAAUAAGGAAGGACAUGUAACACCUGUGGACAAUGUUCAAAUUGUGGAUUUUGCGUGUGGUAAUAAUCAUACGCUUAAGCACUGCAACGCAUGAAAUUUCUUCAGUCAGCUGGUUAUCGUUGUGAGAGCAAGAUGGGAGAUUCAUCGCCUGCGCCAAGUUUUGACGUAACUUUGAAAAGGGUGAUGGAUGAAAUAUUGAAUGACUCUGAAGAGGAGAACGCGAAGCCCGGCGAACUUAAAAAAUUUUACGAAAGUGCCAAGCACAUUCUGGACAUGAAUGGGUCACCCAGCACGUCGAGGAACAUUUUACGAACCCUUCAGACCAUAAUUCGUAAAACGUAAAAGGAUUUCGUGCUUAUGGAAACAAAAUAUAAGGAAAAGGCUGCGGGAAAGUGGAAAACCUUAUACAGGAAGGGAAAACAAAGAGGAGGAAGAAAGCUGGGUUCACCAUGUGCAGAUAAGUGCCUAUACCUGUGCAAUUCAAAUUUUAUAGGGAAUGACCGCACCGAACUCCUUCACAAAUUUUGGAUACAAAUUCCUAGCCCAUUAGCAUUAGUACAAAUUUAAAAAAAUGUAAAAUAUCCCAAAACCCAUUUGAAAAUUCUUCAAAUGGCUCCUGAAGAUUUCAAAAAUU